rnacentral:misc_RNA from 1 species
GAUGAAGAACGCAGUGAAAUGCGAUAAGUAAUGCGAAUUGCAGAAUCCGUGAGUCAUCGAAUCUUUGAACGCACAUUGCGCCCUUUGGUAUUCCGAAGGGCAUGCCUGUUCGAGCGUCAUUAUCACCCCUCAAGCCCCGGCUUGGUGUUGGGCUCUCGGUGGUCGUCUCCGACCACCCGUCUCAAAGAUAGUGACGGCGUCCCAGAGGGAACCGGUACGAGGAGCUUUCACGAGCAUGUACGCGGGACGACUCUGCGGGCGACGGUCUUAUUUACUUUAUAUACAAGUGUUGACCUCGGAUCAGGUAGGAAUACCCGCUGAACUUAAGCAUAUCAAUAAGCGGAGGA